rnacentral:tRNA from 1 species
CAGAAAAUAAUUUAAGCGAAAAUAUAAACUUUGGAAGUUUAAAAUGAUAAUUACAUCUUUUCUGA